AUAGGGAAAUAGCUAAUUGUAGGGGUGCUGUUUUGAGAGUUUUAUUCACUUUUAUAUUUAUGUCUCACAUCUAGGGAACUAGCUCUUCAGAAAAAUCCAAGUCUUCAGGAUCGUCACGAUCAAAGAGGAAACCUUCAAUUGUAACAAAGUAUGUAGAAUCAGAUGAUGAAAAACCUUUGGAUGACGAAACUGUAAAUGAAGAUGCAUCUAAUGAAAAUUCAGAAAAUGAUAUUACUAUGCAGAGCUUGCCAAAAGGUACAGUGAUUGUACAGCCAGAGCCAGUGCUGAAUGAAGACAAAGAUGAUUUUAAAGGGCCUGAAUUUAGAAGCAGAAGUAAAAUGAAAACUGAAAAUCUCAAAAAACGCGGAGAAGAUGGGCUUCAUGGAAUUGUGAGCUGCACUGCUUGUGGACAACAGGUCAAUCAUUUUCAAAAAGAUUCCAUUUAUAGACACCCUUCAUUGCAAGUUCUUAUUUGUAAGAAUUGCUUUAAGUAUUACAUGAGUGAUGAUAUUAGCCGUGACUCAGAUGGAAUGGAUGAACAAUGUAGAUGGUGUGCGGAAGGUGGAAACUUGAUUUGUUGUGACUUUUGCCAUAAUGCUUUCUGCAAGAAAUGCAUUCUACGCAACCUUGGUCGAAAGGAGUUGUCCACAAUAAUGGAUGAAAACAACCAAUGGUAUUGCUACAUUUGUCACCCAGAGCCUUUGUUGGACUUGGUCACUGCAUGUAACAGCGUAUUUGAGAAUUUGGAACAGUUGUUGCAGCAAAAUAAGAAGAAGAUAAAAGUUGACAGUGAAAAGAGUAAUAAAGUAUAUGAACAUACAUCCAGAUUUUCUCCAAAGAAGGCUAGUUCAAAUUGUAAUGGAGAAGAAAAGAAAUUAGAUGAUUCCUGUUCUGGCUCUGUAACCUACUCUUAUUCCGCACUAAUUGUGCCCAAAGAGAUGAUUAAGAAGGCAAAAAAACUGAUCGAGACCACAGCCAACAUGAACUCCAGUUAUGUUAAAUUUUUAAAGCAGGCAACAGAUAAUUCAGAAAUCAGUUCUGCUACAAAAUUACGUCAGCUUAAGGCUUUUAAGUCUGUGUUGGCUGAUAUUAAGAAGGCUCAUCUUGCAUUGGAAGAAGACUUAAAUUCGGAGUUUCGAGUGUUGGAUGCUGUAAAUAAAGAGAAAAAUACCAAAGAGCAUAAAGUCAUAGAUGCUAAGUUUGAAACAAAAGCACGAAAAGGAGAAAAACCUUGUGCUUUGGAAAGGAAGGAUAUUUCAAAGUCAGAAGCUAAACUUUCAAGAAAACAGGUAGAUAGUGAGCACAUGGAUCAAAAUGUUCCAACAGAGGAACAAAGAGCAAAUAAAAGUACUGGUGGUGAACAUAAGAAAUCUGAUAGAAAAGAAGAACCUCAGUAUGAACCUGCCAACACUUCGGAAGACUUAGACAUGGAUAUUGUAUCUGUUCCUUCCUCAGUUCCAGAAGACAUUUUUGAGAAUCUUGAGACUGCUAUGGAAGUUCAGAGUUCAGUUGAUCAUCAAGGGGAUGGCAGCAGUGGAACUGAACAAGAACUGGAGAGUGCAUCUGUAAAAUUAAAUAUUUCUUCAAAAGACAACGGAGGAGGUGCUGAUUGUCAGGAAGUUCCACAAGAUAAAGAUGGCUAUAAAAGUUGUGGUCUGAACCCCAAGUUAGAGAAAUGUGGACUUGGACAGGAAAACAGUGAUAAUGAGCAUUUGGUUGAAAAUGAAGUUUCAUUACUUUUAGAGGAAUCUGAUCUUCGAAGAUCCCCACGUGUCAAGACUACACCCUUGAGGCGACAGACAGAAACCAACCCUGUAACAUCUAAUUCAGAUGAAGAAUGUAAUGAAACAGUUAAGGAGAAACAAAAACUACCCGUUCCAGUGAGAAAAAAGGAUAAGCGAAAUUCUUCUGACAGUGCUAUAGAUAAUCCUAAACCUAAUAAAUUGGCAAAAUCUAAGCAAUCAGAGACUGUGGAUCAAAAUUCAGAUUCUGAUGAAAUGCUAGCAAUCCUCAAAGAGGUAAGCAGGAUGAGUCACAGUUCUUCUUCAGAUACUGAUGUUAAUGAAAUUCAUACAAACCAUAAGACUUUGUAUGAUUUAAAGACUCAGGUUGGGAAAGAUGAUAAAGGAAAAGGAAACGAAAAGUUCUACAUCUGGCUCAGAUUUUGAUACUAAAAAAGGCAAAUCAGCUAAGAGCGCUAUAACUUCUAAAAAGAAACGACAAACCCAGUCUGAGUCUUCUAAUUAUGACUCAGAAUUAGAAAAAGAGAUAAAGAGCAUGAGUAAAAUCGGUGCUGCCAGAACCACCAAAAAAAGAAUUCCAAAUACAAAAGAUUUUGACUCUUCCGAAGAUGAAAAACACAGCAAAAAAGGAAUGGAUAAUCAAGGGCACAAAGGUUUGAAGACCUCGCAAGAAGGAUCAUCUGAUGAUGCUGAAAGGAAACAAGACAGAGAGAAUUUCUCUUCAGCAGAAGGCACAGUUGAUAAAGACACGACCAUCAUGGAAUUAAGAGAUCGACUUCCUAAGAAGCAGCAAGCAAGUGCUUCCUCUGAUGGUGUCGAUAAGCUUUCUGGCAAAGAGGAGAGUUUUACUUCUUUGGAAGUCAGAAAAGUUGCUGAAACUAAAGAAAAGAGCAAGCAUCUCAAAACCAAAACAUGUAAAAAAGUACAGGAUGGUUUAUCUGAUAUUGCCGAGAAAUUCCUAAAGAAAGACCAGAGUGAUGAAACUUCUGAAGAUGAUAAAAGCAGAGCAAAAGGGAGCUGAAGAUAAAAGGAAAUUUCAGACUUUAAGAAAAAAGUAAUUAAAAUGGAACAACAGUAUGAAUCUUCAUCUGAUGGCACUGAGAAGUUACCUGAGCGAGAAGAAAUUUGUCAUUUUCCUAAGGGCAUAAAACAAAAUAAGAAUGAAACAACUGAUGGAGAAAAGAAAAGUAAAAAAAUAAGAGAUAAAACUUCUAAAAAGAAGGAUGAAUUAUCUGAUUGUGCUGAGAAAUCAACAGGGAAAGGAGAUAGUUGUGACUCUUCAGAGGAUAAAAAGAGUAAGAAUGGAGCAUAUGGUAGAGAGAAGAAAAGGUGCAAGUUGCUUGGAAAGAGUUCAAGGAAGAGACAAGAUUGUUCAUCAUCUGAUACUGAGAAAUAUUCCAUGAAAGAAGAUGGUUGUAACUCUUCUGAUAAGAGAUUGAAAAGAAUAGAAUUGAGGGAAAGAAGAAAUUUAAGUUCAAAGAGAAAUACUAAGGAAAUACAAAGUGGCUCAUCAUCAUCUGAUGCUGAGGAAAGUUCUGAAGAUAAUAAAAAGAAGAAGCAAAGAACUUCAUCUAAAAGAAGGCAGUCAUUGUCAAGGAGAAAAGAGAAACUCCCUGAGAACAAGCACUAAAAGGAAGCAAGCCGACAUUACAUCCUCAUCUUCUGAUGUAGAAGAUGAUGAUCAGAAUUCUAUAGGCGAGGGAAGCAGUGAUGAACAGAAAAUUAAGCCCGUGACUGAAAAUUUAGUGCUGUCUUCACAUACUGGAUUUUGCCAAUCUUCAGGUAUGCAAAAAUAAAUAAAAAAUUCAUAAUUUGUACUUUCCCCCUCUUGAAUUACUACAUUGUUUAAUUUUCCCUGAAGCUAAUCAAAUUUAGGGUUGCUACUUAGGAGAAUACCACUUAAAAUUGUUUAGGAGUUUAUUAAAAAAAACAUUUCCC
ensembl:lincRNA